rnacentral:rRNA from 1 species
UGGAUUAGUGGCGAACGGGUGAGUAACACGUGAGUAACCUGCCCUUCACUUUGGGAUAACUCCGAGAAAUCGGGGCUAAUACUGGGUAUGACCUUGGCCCGCAUGGGUUUUGGUGGAAAGUUUUUCGGUGGGGGAUGGGCUCGCGGCCUAUCAGUUUGUUGGUGAGGUAGUGGCUCACCAAGGCGAUGACGGGUAGCCGGCCUGAGAGGACGACCGGCCACACUGGGACUGAGACACGGCCCAG